CUUUCUGGACUAAGUUACUAGCUGGACAUUGAAAUUGGCACACGUCCUGAUUUUGCCAAGUUCGAUGUGUCAACAUAUUUUAUUUACCCUGGAACAAACUUUUAUUACCAUAUCUUUGCACCUUACAUUACCCAUGAGUAAUGCCUAAAACCAGAUUUAAUGAUAGAUGAAUGACACUGCUGUACAAUCACCAAACAAAGUGUGCCAAAAAUAUAUCCCCCACACCAUUACACCACCAGCCUGAACCGUUGAUACGAGGCAGGAUGGGUCCAUGCUUUCAUGUUGUUGGCGCCAAAUUCUGACCCUAUCAUUCGAAUGUCUCAGCAGAAAUCGAGACUCAUCCAACCAGGCAACGUUUUUCUAUUGUCCAAUUUUAGUUUCCUGUUCUUAGCUGACAGGAGCUUCACCCGGUGUGGUCUUCUGCUGCUGUAGCCCAUCCACCUCAAGUUUCGACAUGUUGUGUGUUCAGAGAUGCUCUUCUACAUUCCUCGGUUGUAACGAGUGGUUAUUUGAGUUACUGUUGCCUUUCUAUCAGCUCGAACCAGUCUGGCCAUUCUCCUCUGACAAGGCAUUGUAAUCCCAGCUUGACACAAUGGAUUAAGAAAUCAGGGGGCCACAUGCUAUCUGAACUCAGUGAUGCAGACACUUUUCAUGACAGAAAUAUUUAGGAAAACUGUGGAAAGGUUGUUCAAACCAAUCGAUGUUCACAUUGCACAAUUAUUUAUGGAUUUAAAGUCUCUGAAGACAGGCUCUGCCUCCACUGAGAGAAUCACAUCUGAACUAAACAUUAAUGUUUAUGAGCAGGACGAUGCAGCAGAAUAUUUCCAGAAGAUCAUGAACAUGGUGAAUCCAGAGAUGUCUAAGGUUUUCCAGGGAGAGCUGAUGCACAAAACCACGUGUAAAAACCCAGGAAAGGAGCACCCGC